UAGUUAAUUAGGGAUCAAAACGAAAACCAAACAAGAUCUGAAGGCCAAACAAAAAAAACAAAAGAAGAUAGAAAAUGAGGGUUAAUUGAAUGAGGUUGCGAGGGAGGAGGACUAAACACAUAAAUUUCCCUUUUAGGGAAAGUGCACAGACCCCACCCACCAAACAACAUAGUGCCGUUUCAACACUAUUAUUUAAAAACAAAAAUUUUUUUUGUGUUUCAUUUUCAACCCCCAAUCUAAAAAAAAACAAAAAAAAGCUUCCAUGCUCUCUUCCCCUCCCUUAAAAUCCUCUCAAGCCUUUUCUUCUCUGGUGAAAUCCCGGUCACUGGGCCACCGCCGUUGGUUGCGCCGCCACCGUCGCCGGCCACCGCACAUGGUGGCCGGAAGUUCAAAAGGUAACUUUUUUUUAUUUUUUAAUAAUAUAUAUAUGUAUAUGUAUAUAGAAAGAAAGGAAAAAAAACAAAGAAAAAAAAAUUCAAAAGAAGAGAGAAAAAGAAAAAAAUGCAAACCUUUUUAUUGAUUUUUUCCUUUGUAUUCGAAGUUCGGAGGGAUUUUUGUGUUUGUCUCUUUUUCAAUCUUUUAAAAUCCCCCCCCUUUACAAUGACCAUAGGACUUUUAUAUAGCCCAAAAUCCAAAGAAAAAAAAUACAAAGAAUUUCAUUUUUUGGUGUUUAUCUUUGCUGUCCUUUUUUGUCUUCUUUUGCAGGCAUAGAGUGGUGGAGGCAAGUGGGUGUGCUGGUGGCAGACAACUGGUAGUGGCGGGCCAAGGUGGGGCGGCGGCUAGGGUUCUUCUCCUCUCUUUUUUGCUGAAAAUUGUUUAGGUUUGGGCUGGGCUUAGGGUUUUAGUCUAUUGGGCUAAAUUGGGUUUGGUUAGGGUUGGUUUAAGUUGGGCCAAAAUUGGGCCUUUACAGCUGCCCCUCUUUGCUCAUUUUCGUGUAACGAGAAUAGAGCAAAGACAUCAAAAGGGCCAAUUUUGCCCGGUCUUGCCGAGUCUUGACUUUUUGGUGCUCAUCUUCUUCCAGUAGCCUUAUUCCAGUCUGCUACGUCUUGUUGCUUCGAUCCACUCUACUGCAACUUCAGAUACGCCUUGUAGCUUCAAUCUACUCUACUACGACUCCAUGGGGAUGAGAUUUGUGUUUUUAGUCUGCUCCACUACUACUUAGGGAGAUAAGACUUGAUGCGAUCUGCUCCACUAUUGCUUAGGGAAAUAAGAUCUGUGGUUGUCUGCUCCACUACUGCUUAGGGAGAUAAGACUUAAUGCGAUCUACUCCAUUACUGCUUAGGGAGAUAAGAUUGUAAUCUUCGAUCUAUUCCACUGUUUCCCAGGGAAGUAGAACUACCAGCUUCAAUGUACUCCACUGUAAUCAGUGAGGUAAAAUCCGCCGUCUUCAACCUACUCCAUUAUUUCUUAGGGAGAUAAGAUCUGUAAUCCUCAAUCUAUUCCACUGCCAAAUACAGGGAGAUAGAGUUAUCGGCUUCAAUGUACUCCACUGUAGUCAGGGAGGUAAAAUCUGUGGUUUCGUCUGCUCCACUACUGCUUAGGGAGAUAAGACUUGAUGCGAUCUGCUCCACUAUUACUUAAGGAGAUAAGAUAUGUAAUCUUCGAUCUAUUCCACUGUCAAAUACAGGGAGAUAGAGCCAUUCUUCCAUUCAGAGCGGCUGACUCCAUCAAGUAUUUCAGAGGGUCUAAUUUGGAGAUUAACCAGGUCGUAUGGUACAACAUGUACUGUCUCAGUCUCCGAGUUGUCCAAAUUAAAGCACAACAUAAUUUCUCGAUUGGCGAAUAUCUUGUUUCGCAUUCGGUGAACUUCUUACUGAGAUAGUAGAUCGCUCUUUCCUUUCGUCCUGAUUCGUCAUGUUGACCAAGCACGCAUCCCAUGGAAUUUUCAAAUACUGCCAAAUACAGUAUGAGCAGUUUGUCUGGGCAGGGUGGCAUCAGUACUGGGGCGUUGGAUAAGUAAUGUUUGACUUUUUCAAAAGUUUUUUGACAUUCCUCAUCCCAUACACCUGGAUUAUGUUUCUUGAGGAGGCGAAAUAUGGGGUCGCAUUUCUCAGUUAGCUGUGAGAUGAACCGAGCAAUAUAGUUCAGCCUUCCUAGAAAACCUCGAACCUCCUUUUGAGUACGCGGCGGGGGUAAUUCUUGUAUUGCUCUUACUUUGUCAGGAUCAAUCUCAAUUCCUCUUUCACUGACCACGAAUCCAAGCAAUUUUCUUGAUCUGACCCCGAAUAUGCAUUUUGCUGGAUUUAGCUUUAGCUGAAAUUUCCUCAAUCUCGUAAAUAAUUUCUUAAGGACCUGCACAUGUUCCUUUUCUGUUUUAGAUUUUGCAAUCAUGUCAUCAACAUAGACUUCUAACUCCUUAUGCAUCAUGUCAUGGAACAGUGUUACCAUGGCCCUCUGAUACGUUGCCCCUGCAUUUUUCAACCCAAAUGGCAUCACCUUAUAACAAAAAGUUCCCCAUAGGGUUAUGAACGUAGUUUUCCUCAUAUCCUCGGGAUGCAUCUUAAUUUGGUUAUAUCCCGAGAAGCCAUCCAUGAAAGAAAACAGCGAAUGUCCUGCUGUAUUGUCUACCAAGGCGUCGAUAUGUGGCAAGGGAAAGUUAUCUUUUGGGCUAGCCUUAUUUAGAUCUCUAUAAUCCACACACAUUCGUACCUUCCCAUCUUUCUUUGGGACAGGAACAAUGUUAGCUACCCACUCGGAGUAUUUGACCACCUUCAGGAACCCAGCGUCGAAUUGCUUUUGCACCUCUUCUUUUAUUUUUAACACGAUAUCAGGCCUCAUUCUUCGGAGUUUUUGCUGAACUGGUUUGCAAUCCUCCUUUAUAGGAAGUCGGUGAACCACGAUGUCAGUACUUAACCCCGGCAUAUCUUGGUAUGACCAUGCGAAGACAUCUUUGAACUCUCGCAGCAAUUCAAUGAGGUCUUGUUUUACUUCUUCAGCUAUGCGGGUACCAAUCUUUAACACCUUUCCCUCUUCCAAGAUCAUUGUCUCUAUCGUCUCUUCGUGGGGUAGAAUCUGUUUCUCUUCCUGCUCUACCAUUCUCAACAAGUCCGGAGAUAGGUUGCAAUCUGUGUUAUCUUCAAAAUCUUGAGAUUCCUCUGGACACAUAUCUCGUUCAAAAAGAUUUUCUAAGUCCAUAGUAGAGUCACUCAUAUCAUUGAUAUCUUGGGACCUGUUAUAG
rnacentral:lncRNA from 1 species